UUCGGAAGAUGGUCAAGGUAC
rnacentral:siRNA from 1 species